GGGAGGGCAAUAUUUUCACUAAAAGAAAAAUUAUUCGUCAUAAAAGUUUUUCUGGGUUUUUGUAAAAUUGGGCGUAGGUGUUCAUACCAAUUCCAUCAAUUUACAAUCCUAAUAUUGCAAAAUUCACGAAAUCGGUUAUCUUUUGAAGUAAUAAAACCCUAACAUUUGGGUGAUAAUGUGCCUUGCGAAAUCGGAGACAUUCACGAAAUCGGUUUGUGGCAACUAGGCGCGGCAAGUAGCCAUUGCCGACGGAGUAGGUAACUGCUAGUAAAUACUGGUGAUGUCUACAUCACUGAAAGAGUACCUGAAGAAGUAUGAAACUAACGCACCAGAGGAAAAAAAGAAGAAAAGGAAGAAAACUAAAGCUGUAGCCUCAGGUGUACUUGUUGUGGACGAAGAUCCUGUGUGGCAAAAGCCAAUCAACCUUGAAAAAGAGGAUGCUAAUGAUUCACCUGAUGAAAAGCCACAAGUUGAUGAAGACAUAGAAGUUAAAAGGAUGAAGAGGUUGGAGAUGCUGAGAGCCAGGCGUUCUAACAAUGAAAUUUCUGAAGAUGGUAGUGGCUGGAUUUCAAUUUCUGAGGCUCCAAAGUGCUCAGCAUCUAUUGAUCCAAGUUCAGAUAUAUCCCCACCUCGUAACCAUAAAGCUAGGUAUGACACUCCUUCUCCGGAGGCUGGGUUGAACGGUUCAGAUUCAGGUAGAGAAGCAACAGAUCUAUCACCUCCACGAUUGCAUCGCCAACGUAAUGACAGUCCUUCACCAGGGCCAAAUGGUGCUGGUAGUGAAGGCUCCGAUCUGUCACCACCUCGACAAUGUCAUAAAUCUAACAAUUCCCCAUCAUUUGAACGCAAACUAGAGACUUUGGAUGUUAGUAAAGAAUCAGAUUUGUCACCACCUCGACAGCGACGUAGGCGCUAUGAUUCUCCCUCACCUCAGCGCAUGACUAAGGCUUCAGAUGCAGAUCAAGACAGUGACAUGUCUCCUCCACGUCGGCGAGGACAAAGUCAUGGUUCCCAUCCACCCACUUCGCAGAGAAAUCCUUCAGUUCAUGACAUAAGAAACUCUAAUUUGGAUAAUUUAUCUCUCCAGCACCCUGGUUUUCCAAAUUUAAAUGAUUCUCAAAGUUUAGAGGAUCUUUCGCCUGCGAGGAAAAGGCAAAAGGGUAUUGAUAAAAGGAGGCUCGGAGAAAAUAGUGCUCAAGAAAUGUCUACAAAAGUAGAUCUUUCUCCUCCAAGGAAAAGGAAGGAACAACCGAAAAGGGGUUUGAUUACUGGCAAAGAUGUUGGUGAAGAGAUUGCUAAAAGUAAAAAGGAUGAAUGGUUUAGAUUUAAUGAGAUGGAUCCUUCCACAAGCGGACGAGGUGUUGAACCAGUAUAUCGUUUCAAGGGAAAACGUGUAUCAAAGAGUGAGUACCUUAAGUUGACCAAGAAAGCAGAAAAGCCGAAGGAGGAGGAAAAGAAGUUGGAGUGGGGCAAGGGAUUGGCUCAAAAACGUGAAGCUGAAGCUAGGCUUCUUGAGUUGGAACUUGAGAAAGAAAAGCCCUUUGCUCGGUCCAAAGAUGAUCCUGAGCUGGAUAGAAUGAUGAAGGAUAGACUUAGGUGGGGUGAUCCCAUGGCACAUUUGGUGAAGAAAAAACAACCCGACUUGCUUCUUUCAGACUUAGGGGAGAAUGAGAAGAUGAAAGAAUCUGGGUUUAUUAUUCCCCAAGAUAUACCCAGUCACAGCUGGAUCAAGAGAGGACUCGACUAUGAACCUAACAGAUACGGAAUCAAACCUGGGAGACACUGGGAUGGGGUUGAUCGUAGUAAUGGAUACGAGAAGCAAUUGUUCAAGAGGAUGAAUGAGAAACGGGCUACUGAGCGAGAAGCUUAUCUGUGGUCUGUAUCAGAUAUGUGAAGAUCGGCAUCAAUGUCUGGGGUUGGUUCUACAUCGACAGACAGCUUGUUUGUAGCACAUUCUAUUUGGAUAAAUAAAGGAUUUCGGAACGUGAAUUUCUGCCUGUUUACUAUUUGAAACCAAUCCUUCUGUCACUGCUACUCAGUACUCACCACAAGACAUUCAGGAUUUUUUUGAUAAAGAAAUAAAGUUGGAUGAUAUGAGAAAAUCAGAGCCAAUCGGAAGAAAUGUAAUUCACGAAUUACUUGACAUUUUAGGUUAGAAAUGGGUGUAUCUUACACACAUGAACUCGUAUUUUUUUGAGGCUACGGACAUCUGUUCGAAAAGUUUUAUAAUUUUUUGUGUUCAGUGCAAAAGUUAAAUCAGCUUGUAACAAUGACAAAACUGCUGUAUAAGUCGGUUGUAAUAAGGACAAUACAACUCAAUAUGAUUAAUUGUAAUAAAUACGAAGAAACAAA